UACAGAGGGUGCAAGCGUUAAUCGGAAUUACUGGGCGUAAAGCGUGCGCAGACGGUCUCGUAAGUCGGGUGUGAAAUCCCUGGGCUCAACCCAGGAACUGCAUCCGAAACUGUCAGUCUGGAGUGGUGGAGAGGGAAGCAGAAUUCCUGGUGUAGCGGUGAAAUGCGCAGAUAUCAGGAGGAACACCGGUGGCGAAGGCGGGUCUCUGGGCCGAUACUGACGCUGAGGAGCGAAAGCGUGGGGAGCGAACAGG
rnacentral:rRNA from 1 species